rnacentral:rRNA from 1 species
UACGAAGGGUGCAAACGUUAUUCGGAAUCACUGGGCGUAAAGGGUGCGUAGACGGUAUGUUAAGUUCGUUGUUAAAGGCUCCGGCCCAACCGGAGUAUUGCGAUGGAAACUGGCACACUAGAGGGUGAGAGAGAGAAGUGGAAUUCCCGGAGUAGCGGUAAAAUGCGUGGAUCUCGGGAGGAACACCAAUGGCGAAGGCAGCUUCUUGGCUCAUACCUGACGUUGAGGCACGAAAGCGUGGGGAGCAAACAGG